GGGUUAUUUUAUUACUUUUUAAACACUUUUGGGUAGUUUCAAUUUACCAGGUGUUGAGUUAAACCUGCUGGGUUGCAACGCUGGGUUAUUUAAUGCGCCUUGAAGAUGUUUAAAUCGCUCCCCAACUAUCAUUUUGGAAGAACAACGGGGCAAAGCCACUGGUUUCAACUGUUUUAAGAAGAGCACAUGGAUACAUUUGUGUGAGAAAAACUCGUCGAAUGCAGUCUUAUCGAGACGUCUAACGGUUGGAACAAACGUGGAAUUCCUUAACCGAGCAGAGUCCACAAAACCCCAUCCAUUUGUCAUGACGAUUUGAAAAUGCCAGCAGAUCUAUCAGACAUUGAUCAUAAUCAACGGACAGGUAAGGAUAUUCUG